GAGUGAAAGGCUACGGCUCAACCGUAGUAAGCUCUUGAAACUGGGAGACUUGAGUGCAGGAGAGGAGAGUGGAAUUCCUAGUGUAGCGGUGCAAUGCGUAGAUAUUAGGAGGAACACCCGUUGCGAAGGCGGCUCUCUGCACUGUAACUGACGCUGAGGCACGAAAGCGUGGGGAGCAACCAGGAUUAGAUACCCUGUUAGUCCCCGCUGUACACGAUGGGUACUCGUUGUCGUGCGUUACCCCCUUCGGUGCCGCCGCUAACUCAUUAAGUGCUCCUCCUGGGAAUUACGCUCGCAAUAGUGAACCUCAAAUGACUGUCCGGGUACCCUCUCAACUACAGGUGCCUUUGGUCUAAUUCGAAGCAACGCUAAUGACCUUACCUUACGCUGACUUCCCCAUGCCC
rnacentral:rRNA from 1 species